rnacentral:lncRNA from 1 species
GGUCGGUGCGGGACAGAAUGCCAGUCAGUGUUCCUUUGGCAGUGGUAGAGGGUGGACGCACGCACGUGACAGAGCUCUCGUUCGCUCGGUUCUCGCACUAAGGACACGCCCUCCCUAUGCACGCCCAGUGAGGCAGCGGCGUGUGCAACAGCAAGAAGGAAACAGAGAGCCAGAAUUUACGAAACAGAGGAAUAAGAGAAGACAGCAAGAAAAGGGCAAAGCUAGACGUGAUGAUUAAAGUGAAACCGAACGAUGUGAUUAGGAAAUAUUAAUCAUAUUAAUAAAGAAACAUAAUAUUGAAAGAAAUAUACAAUAGAAAUAAAAAAAAAGAGUUGGAAAAGGGAGCAAAUUUAAACAGAAGUGUGAGUGUGUGAUAACCAACG